UNACACAUGCAGUCGAGGGGUAUUGGUUUUCGGACCAAGAGACCGGCGCACGGGUGCGUAACGCGUAUGCAAUCUACCUUUUACAGAGGGAUAGCCCAGAGAAAUUUGGAUUAAUACCUCAUAGUAUUACGACUCGGCAUCGAGAUGUAAUUAAAGUCACAACGGUAAAAGAUGAGCAUGCGUCCCAUUAGCUUGUUGGUAAGGUAACGGCUUACCAAGGCAACGAUGGGUAGGGGUCCUGAGAGGGAGAUCCCCCACACUGGUACUGAGACACGGACCAGACUCCUACGGGAGGCAGCAGUGAGGAAUAUUGGUCAAUGGGCGCAAGCCUGAACCAGCCAUGCCGCGUGCAGGAUGAAGCAUCUAUGGUGUGUAAACUGCUUUUGUACGAGAAGAAACACUACUUCGUGAAGUAGCUUGACGGUAUCGUAAGAAUAAGGACCGGCUAACUCCGUGCCAGCAGCCGCGGUAAUACGGAGGGUCCAAGCGUUAUCCGGAAUCAUUGGGUUUAAAGGGUCCGUAGGCGGUUUUGUAAGUCAGUGGUGAAAGCCCAUCGCUCAACGGUGGAACGGCCAUUGAUACUGCAAGACUUGAAUUAUUAGGAAGUAACUAGAAUAUGUAGUGUAGCGGUGAAAUGCUUAGAGAUUACAUGGAAUACCAAUUGCGAANGGCAGGUUANCUACUAAUGGAUUGACGCUGAUGGACGAAAGCGUGGGUAGCGAACAGGAUUAGAUACCCUGGUAGUCCACGCCGUAAACGAUGGAUACUAGCUGUUCGGAGCAAUCUGAGUGGCUAANCGAAAGUGAUAAGUAUCCCACCUGGGGGAGUACGUUCGCAAGAAUGAAACUCAAAGGAAUUGACGGGGGCCCGCACAAGCNGGUGGAGCAUGUGGUUUAAUUCGAUGAUACGCGAGGAACCUUACCAAGGCUUAAAUGUAGAUUGACCGGUUUGGAAACAGAUCUUUCGCAAGACAAUUUACAAGGUGCUGCAUGGUUGUCGUCAGCUCGUGCCGUGAGGUGUCAGGUUAAGUCCUAUAACGAGCGCAACCCCUGUCGUUAGUUGCCAGCGAGUCAUGUCGGGAACUCUAACGAGACUGCCAGUGUAAACUGUGAGGAAGGUGGGGAUGACGUCAAAUCAUCACGGCCCUUACGCCUUGGGCUACACACGUGCUACAAUGGCCGGUACAGAGAGCAGCCACUGGGCGACCAGGAGCGAAUCUAUAAAACCGGUCACAGUUCGGAUCGGAGUCUGCAACUCGACUCCGUGAAGCUGGAAUCGCUAGUAAUCGGAUAUCAGCCAUGAUCCGGUGAANNCGUUCCCGGGCCUUGUACACANNNNNNGNCAAGCCAUGGAAGCUGGGGGUGCCUGAAGUCGNGACCGCAAGAGC
rnacentral:rRNA from 1 species